AUUGAACGCUAGCGGCAGGCCUAACACAUGCAAGUCGAACGAGUGGCGGACGGGUGAGUAAUAUCUGGGAACCUGCCUGCUGGAGGGGGAUAACUACUGGAAACGGUAGCUAAUACCGCAUACUAUCGGAUGUGCCCAGAUGGGAUUAGCUAGUAGGUGGGGUAACGGCUCACCUAGGCGACGCUCCCUAGCUGGUUUGAGAGGAUGACCAGCCACACUGGAACGGAGACACGGUCCAGACUCCUACGGGAGGCAGCAGUGGGGAAUAUUGCACAAGGGGGGAAAGCCUGAUGCAGCCAUGCCGCGUGUAUGAAGAAGGCCUUCGGGUUGUAAAGUACUUUCAGCGGGGAGGCGUUACCCGCAGAAUAAGCACCGGCUAACUCCGUGCCAGCAGCCGCGGUAAUUC
rnacentral:rRNA from 1 species